rnacentral:rRNA from 1 species
GACAGAGGGUGCAAACGAUGCUCGGAAUCACUGGGCGUAAAGCGCAUGUAGGUGGACACGCAAGUCGGGUGUGAAAGCCCCGGGCUUAACCAGGGAACUGCAUUCGAAACUGCGCGUCUUGAGUAAUGGAGAGGAAAGCGGAAUUGCUGGUGUAGAGGUGAAAUUCGUAGAUAUCAGCAGGAACACCUGUGGCGAAGGCGGCUUUCUGGACAUUCACUGACACUGAGAUGCGAAAGCGUGGGGAGCAAACAGG